UGGGCAUCAUGUGUUUGAUGAUGUUGAAUGGUGUAACACGGGGUUGGUCGGUCGGAAAAAGGAUCGUGCGGUGGUUGAAGGUGGGUCGCGGCGGAAGAUUCGUCGGCGACGGUUGGGUUUGUAGAUCUGAAGUAGUAAAAGGGAGUGACGUUUUGGACGUUGCCGAAGAGGGUGUAUGAAGGAAACAGACUGUGAUUCCGUGAUGAGGAGAGUUUUGUCGUGGUGAUGGUGUUUCCAACGGAAGAAUCGUUUGCCGGCGGAACUUAAAAAAGAAGAAGGAGAGGUGUGUUGUGCGGCGUUGGGAUUUCACGGUGAAACGAAGGUAAGUGGUGGUUGGAAACAGAAGUCGGCACAGUGAGGUGUGGUGGAGGCACAGAAGGCGGAAGGAGAAAAAUCCACUGUGAGAGAAAUCCCCUCCUUUUUAUUUUCCUUUUUCUUUUUUAUGCUGAGCCAGAGAUUGGACAGUAGUGUCCGUUGGUUUUCAUCAUAGUGAACCCUCUUCCAAAUUGUUGAUGUUGGUUGGAGAUAUAGUGGUCUUUUUCCCAAGUGAAUUUUUUUUGGAAAGAAGAAAAAACUCCUUCUUUAUUUUUUUUUCUUUUUUACCGUCGGAGAGAGGAAUCGUGUGAGAAAGAGGAAGCGUGAGGGAGAGAGGGAAGCGUGCAUGUAGGUAGUGUGUGAGAGAGGGUGAGGUCAGUGUGAUAGCUGAGAGAGAUAUGAGGGAAACGUGAGAGAGUGAAGGAAACCUGUGUGAGAGGAUUUUUGUGGAUUGGAGAGAGAGCCUCAAGAUUUUCCCUAUUAUUUCUUCAUUUCAUUUUAUUAUUAAUUAAUUCAAUUUUUUAUAGAUGAAUAGCAACGCACAUGGUGUGCCAAUAUUGACAACUGAUUAAUUUGAAUCAUCCAUUCAGAGUAAAACAAAACCAGUCAAAAUUGCAAUGUUAUCUUCUUUAAAUGAUUUAAUUGGUUUAACAACUGAUUAAUUUGAAUCAUCCAUUCAGAGUAAAACAAAACCAGUCAAAAUUGCAAUGUUAUCUUCUUUAAAUGAUUUAAUUGGUUUAAAGGGGAUUAAAUCAAUCAAUUCAAAUAAAAAUUCACAACUUCCUAAAUAAAUAUGAUAAAAGUGAAAUGAAAAUGUGAAAAUUCCUAUUUAUUCAAAUCGAAUAUUUUGGUGAAAAAUAAAAUUAAAAUGACUAACAAUGAACAAAAGUCGGGCAAAAGUUUGCUCGAAAAAUUAAAUCGGAUGUACUAAAAUGAUCGGUACAAAAUAUACUUAUAAAAAAAAUACAGCGUUUCUUUAAAUUUUGAAAUAAAUUUGCACCAGUUAAAAGGCUCAGGCGGGUCAAAACGCAACUGAAAUAGCCGCUGAAAAAUACAACGAGCACACCAGGUUAAACUACGUGAACCCUAGAUUAAUAAUACUGGCGUCUGCAAUUUUAAUUUUGAAACUUUUUACCCGUUGAUUUUGCAUGUUCUUGAGAAACGAAUCAACCAGUUUGUAUGUAUUUUUAAUAAACUUAUUCUGACUGAUAUUUUAGUUAUUAUUCAUGAUGGAAUGCAUGUCAUGCUGUGCAUAUGAUGCAAAUUAAAAAUGAAAUCAAAUUUACAAAAAUUUAAAUAUGCCCAGACAAAAUUGGGGUAUGACAUUAAGCAUUUUCAUUCAUUGUUAUAUUUUAAUUCUAUUUUCGUGAUUUUAUGCGUGUGAUAACUGUGUUUUUGUCCGACAGGUCCAGGUAGAAGAACCAGGAAACUCAGAGCGACACAAUGCGAGAUUCCGGCAAACAAAGGAGUGGAAAACCCCGGUACAGGAGGCCUGACACAGCCACCCGUGUCACCUAAGACGGGUCAUGUCAAGCAAAGGAGGGUGUGGCAAGGAAGACAGUGGCCUGACACGGCCACCCGUGUCAGCUGACACGGGACGUGUCAGGCAUCAACCCCCCUGUGUCAAGAGACCAUUGGCGUGUCACCAAUAACAGUAGGCUGACACGGCCACCCGUGUCAACCCAAACCCAAAAUUUCCCUUUAUCUCGGGCUUUUGUUCAUUGGGCUUUUUAGAGAAAUUUUUGGACAUGUCCACCUGCUGCUAGGAAUUUUCAUUAUAAAAGAGGACCUUAUGCCAAAGGAAAAAUGAUCUUGGAACAAGGCAAAAUACAGUAUUGUGAAGCAAUCAAGUAUUACAGAGAACAAGGAGUUUGGAGAGCUGAAGGUUUUCAUGAGCGGGAGCGAUUGAAGAUCAAAGUCAUCCCAUUACUUGUAAUGUGUAAUUUUCAUCUUGCAUUUGUUUUAAACAAUAUGAGUAGCUAAACCCCCCAAUGCUAGGGGGGUGUCCCUGAUUUAAAAUUGUAACGAAUUUGAGAUUACAUUUGCAUUUAUAAUAUUAUUUUUACGGUAACCUUUUGAUGUGAUUAUUGCUUUCUCUUUCGGACCAAUCAAGAUUGAUUUAUGGUUAUUAAUUUGGCUGGACCACUAUUGAUAAGGUUUUCAUAAGGUUACUCACCAGUAGAUAUCACCUAGGACUAGGGAUACCCUGUAUGAACCAGAGUAUUCUUGAUAUUAUAAAGCUUAACUUCACCUUAAUUGACCAUGGACAUAGAAAUCAGGGUAGAUUGAUCAAAGGUUUUCUCACCAAGGACUUGGGAGAAAAUACCCUUAAGAACUGGUAGUAAUUGAUAUUUGUUGAUGCAAUAGUGACUCAGAGUUGUUACAGGAUUAAAUCAUACACCUUCCCCUGACAUUGUUCUUUUUACCCUGCAAACCCUUAUUUUCAUUCUUAUUUGUCCUUGCCUUUAUUCUUAUAUUUUUACAUCUAAAAACCAAAUUAAUAAGUUUUGUUUAAUCGAAUGAUAAUUUAAACUCGAUAUUGACUUGCAGUUCUUGAGAUUGACAUUCGGGGAAUUUCCCCAUUAUUACUAUAAAAGGCAAAAUAGUACACUUGCUAUUUUCCAGAUCAAGUUUUUGGCGCCGUUGCCGGGGACUGCCAAAAUGUAGAGUUUAAUUUUAAAUUCAAUUGAAAUUUUGUUGCUCUGCAAUAAAAUUAUUUUUCUGUCACUUAUAAUUUACUAAUUUGUGUACGCGAGGAGAAUCCUCAGCUGAAUUUCUUUUUGACGCAGAGAUCGAGAGAACCCUUCACCGAAGACGUAGAAAUUAAAGAGUAGAUUCCAAAUAAGAAAGUACCUCUGAUCACUUAGAAGUCAAAGAACCAAUGGCUGAAGUUCCUCCAAUUCCACCUCCUCCACCUCCGGAAAGACUCCUAGGUGACUAUGGAGGUGCAAACUUACCGGGUGGUCGACUGACCAUUGUCAACCAACCGGUGAAUAUGACGACUUUUCAACUACAUCCUAGCACAAUCAAUCAAUUGGAAAGAAAACCUUUCAUCGGAAAGGUUAAUGAAGAUGCCAACAAACACCUAGAAAGAUUUCUGACCAUGUGCACCACCUUGAAAAUUGACGGUCACACUGAUGAAGCAAAGAAAUUAAGAAUGUUCCCGUUCACCUUAGCUGGAGAUGCGGAAGAGUGCUUCUACUCUCUUCCAGCCGGUCAUCAAACUCCCUUAUCAAACUCCCUUAGCACUUGUGAAAUCUGUAAUGGACCUCAUCACACGGUCUAUUGCUUUGCUACCCCCAAAAAAUUGAAGAGAUCAAAUUCUUGAAGCAAAAUAAUCCCUACUCUAACACGUACAGCCCAGGUUGGAAGAAUCAUCCAAAUUUCUCCUGGAAAGAUCAGAGAGGGAAUAUUCCGCAACAAAGUCGGGGCAAUAUCAGACUCAGUAUCAGCAACAACAACAAUAACAGGCACCUAAAAAGGCUGAAUGGGAAAUCGCCAUUGAAAAAUUAGCUGCCCACAACAUGAAAUUUCAAGAAGAAACAAGGACUAAUAAGAAAAACACCACAACCUCUAUCAAAAAUCUUGAAGUCCAAAUGGGUCAGAUAGCACAACAGUUAGCUUAAAAUUGUCAAGCCCCGGGCACCCUACCUAGUGGUACGGUAACAAAUCUGAGGGAACAUAACACUGUUAACGCUGUCGUAACCCGAAAUGGGAAGUUUACGGAGGAAAAUAGUAUUGAAAAAGAUAGAUUGUUAGAAGUGGAUUUAGAAAUCAAGGAAACCAAGGACCAAGAUAAAGAAGUGAUACCACCACCUGUCAAGGAGAAAGAAAAGGUUCCAAAACCAGUCAUCAAACUCCUUUACCCUCCAAGACAGAAAAAGAAAGAUCAACAUGAGAAAAUUUUUGAGAGGUUCCUGGAAAUGUUCAAAAAGCUGGAAAUAAACAUCCCUUUUUCUGAGGCAUUAGAACAAAUCCCAAUAUAUGCCAAGUUCGUGAAAGACAUCAUCUCCAAGAAGCGCUCCACGGAUAUGGACCCGAUCAUCCUAACUGAAACAUGCAGUGCCAUUCUCCAAGGCAUGAAAAUCCCAGUGAAAAAGAAAGACAGGGGGUCGAUUACUAUUCCAUGCACUAUUGGUGAUAGAAAAUUCAAGAAGGCUCUAUAAAAAAUUAGGCGUUGGCACUGUUCAAGAUACUCGAAUGGCACUUCAGUUUGCGGAUUGCUGUGUUAGGCGACCCUAUGGGAUUAUGGAAGACGUUCUUGUAAAAAUUGACAAGUUUGUUUUCCCAGUUGACUUCGUCAUUCUGGAAAUGCCUGAAGAUGAGGAGAUUCCUCUCAUAUUGGGCAGACCAUUCUUAGAAACAGGACGGUGUAUGAUAGACAUCGAGGAAGGAACAAUGACCCUCAAAGUCUAUGAUGAAGAGCUAAAAAUAGAUGUGAGGAAUACAAUGCAAUACAAAGAUGAUAUUGGCACAAGCCACACUAUAGAGGUAAUAGAUCAAGUAAUUGCUCAAGAAAUUGAAAGGCAUAGACCUCAGUCACCGCUAGAACGGGUCUUAAGUCUAUCAAUUUUUGAAAGUGAUAAAGAUGAAGGAGAGUCUGAGGUGCUCGCUAUGAUGGAAAAAUAACUUGAAUGGAUUAGAUCUAUACCAUACAAAUGGGAAGAUUUAAGGCACCACCACCAGCAGAUGUCACUGAAGAACCAAAAACAUGGGUGAAUCUGAAGCAGUUACCAACAAAUCUGAAGUAUGUAUUUCUGGACACUGAAAAGAAAUGCCCAACUAUUAUCAAUGUCAGUCUACAAAGUGUCCAAGAAGCAAAACUAAUUCAAGUGCUAAAAAAAUACAAAGGCGCAAUUGGAUGGGCAAUUGAGGACUUGAAAGGUAUAAGCUCGAUCAUUUGCAUGCACAAAAUCUUAAUGGAAGAUGAUCACAAACUGGUGGUGCAACCACAACGAAGACUUAACCCAACCAUGAAAGAAGUGGUACGCAAAGAAGUUGUAAAAUUGUUGGAUGCAGGCUUAAUUUAUUCUAUUUCCGAUAGUUCUUGGGUAAGUCCAGUCCAUGUGGUACCAAAAAAAGGGGGCACUACGGUGAUAAAAAAAUGAGAAGAAUGAGUUAAUUCCAACCCGAACUAUUACAGGUUGGAGAGUGUGCAUAGAUUACAGAAGACUAAAUGUGGCAACCCGAAAGGACCACUUUCCGUUACCAUUCAUCAAUCAAAUGCUGGAAAGGUUAGCCGGACACGAUUACUAUUGUUUCCUAGAUGGGUACUCGGGGUACAACCAGAUUGUGGUUGCCCCUGAAGAUCAAGAGAAGAAUGCAUUCACAUGCCCUAUGGUAUUUUCGCUUAUAGAAGAAUGCCAUUUGGGUUGUGCAACGCACCAACCACUUUUCAAAGGUGUGUGAAAUCAAUCUUUGCUGACAUGCUCGAAAAGCAUAUGGAAGUAUUUAUGGAUGACUUUUCAGUAUCCGGUUCUUCUUUCGAUAAAUGUUUAACUAACUUGUCACUUAUGUUAGAAAGAUGCAAGAAAACAAAUUUGAUCUUGAACUGGGAAAAGUGCCAUUUUAUGGUACGUGAAGGUAUAGUGUUGGGACACAAGAUCUCCAACCAAGGUAUCGAAGUGUACAUAGCAAAAGUGGAGGUAAUAGCUAAUUUACCACCUCCGGUAAAUGAAAAAGGCAUCCAAAGCUUCUUGGGACAUGCAGGGUUCUACCGCAGGUUCAUAAGAGAUUUCUCCAAAAUCGUAAAGCCACUAACUAGUCUACUAGUGAAGGAUACACCAUUCCUAUUUGACAAGGAAUGCAGGCAAGCCUUCGAGACUUUGAAGAAGGAACUUGUGUCAGCCCCCAUAGUUAUUUCCCCUGAUUGGUCUCUCCCUUUUGAGAUAAUAUGCGAUGCUAGUGAUAAUGCAGUAGGGGCAGUAUUAGGGCAAUGAAAGGAGAAGCUCUUGCAUGUGAUCUGUUAUGCAAGCCACGUAUUGAACUCUGCUCAAAUGAGCUAUGCAACCACCGAAAAAGAACUCCGGGCGGCUGUGUACGCGUUUGAUAAGUUCAUAUCCUAUUUGUUGGGAUCAAAGGUAAUUGUGUAUACUGAUCAUGCUGCUUUAAAAUAUCUUUUUGCCAAACAGGAAUCAAAGCCAAGGUUGCUGCGAUGGAUCAUACUACUACAAGAGUUUGACCUAGAAAUCAGAGACAAAAAGGUAGUGAAAACACUCUUGCUGAUCACUUGUCUCGGAUGACUCUGAUUCAAGAAACAGAAGAAAGACACCCCAUCAGAGAUGAGUUCACCGACGAACGUAUCCUAGCCGUUACGCUUAUCCCAUGGUUCACAGAUUACACGAACUUUGUAGUAGGUGGACUAAUACCUGAUGACUUUGACUCUAACAGAAGAAAAAAGUUUUUGCAUGAUUGCAGAUUUUAUGUGUGGGACGAUCCAUUCCUUUACCAAAAGGGAUUAGAUGGCCUGGUAAGGAGAUGUGUUCCGGAGGAAGAGCAAAGGGACAUCCUAAAAGCCUGUCACAACUCAGAAUAUGGAGGAUAUUUUAGCGGAGAUAGAAUCGCGGAAAAAGUCCUCCAGUCUGGAUUGUACUGGCCUACACUGUUCAAAGAUGCAAAGAGAUGGUAAAAGAGUGCGACAGAUGUCCGAGAAUAGGAAACAUAUCCAAGAGAAAUCAGAUGCCUCAGAAUGCCAUGUUAGAGGUAGAACUGUUUGAUGUGUGGGGAAUAGAUUUUAUGGGACCCUUCCCACCGUUCUUUGGAAAGUAAUACAUUCUGGUCGCGGUUGACUAUGUGUCAAAAUGGGUGGAAGCAGUAGCACUGCCCACGAAUGACGCGAAAGUGGUAAUAAAUUUCCUCAAGAAUUGUAUCUUUGCACGGUUUGGGGUACCAAGAGCACUGAUUAGUGACGAAGGUACCCACUUCCUCAACAAGCUGAUGGAGAACCUGCUAAGGAAAUACAAUGUCAAGCAUAGAAUCGCCACACCGUACCACCCCCAGACUAGUGGACAGGUUGAGGUAUCAAAUCGGCAGAUCAAGCAAAUCCUAGAAAAGACAGUUAGCGCCUCACAAAAAGAUUGGUCAAUCAAGCUAGAUGAUGCACUCUGGGCAUACCGAACAACGUUCAAAACCCCAAUAGGUAUAUCCCCGUAUCAACUGGUCUAUGGUAAAGCUUGUCAUCUACCGCUCGAACUAGAGCACAGAGCAUUCCGGGCUACCAAAUUUCUCAAUUAUGAUCUGUCCAAAGCGGGUAAAUCUCGGAUCCUUCAAUUACAAGAGCUGGAAGAAUUCAGAAAUCGAGCAUAUGAGAAUGCCAAGAUAUACAAAGAGCAAACCAAAACAUGGCAUGACAGGCACAUUCAGAAGAAAGAAAUUCAGGAAGGAAAACUGGUCUUAUUAUUUAAUUCAAGGUUGACGUUAUUCCCAGGGAAACUAAGGUCAAGAUGGUCGGGACCCUUUAUGAUACAAAAAGUAUUUCCGCAUGGAGCCGUUGAACUAAGAAAUCCCGCAAACUGAGACACGUUCAAGGUGAAUGGGCAGAGAGUCAAACCGUACCUACAAGACCAGGAGGGUUGUCUAAUAGACAAAAUCCUUCUCACCUAAAAAGACGGAGAACCGUCGAGCCAUGCGACGUUAAACGCAACGCUUCAUGGGAGGCAACCCACACAUUUUAAAUCUAAUCAGUUAUGUAUGUUUGUAGGUUUACACAGGAGCUCUACAAGGAGGGAACAUCACUUCAACAAAUGUCUAAGUCAUGAAAAAGGAUAAUCAACGUGGCCAGAGGUAUUAGAGGUUGAACAGGAGAAAAAGCCAAAAAAAAGGCCAAAAGGGCAGCCUGACACGGCCACCCGUGUCAGCUGACGUGGGCCAUGUCAGGAGGGUGAAAAUUCAGGAAAAAAUGUGAAAAAAUAGUGGCCUGGCACGGCCACCCGUGUCAGGAGCACUGAUGGAAAUAUUGAAAACGUGGUGAUGGACAGUGGCCUGACAUGGCCACCCGUGUCAGGCAGGCGCAAUUUUUGAUUUUUUUUGAAAAUCCAAAUUUUGCAGUGGGCCCCACAUUUUUACUCCUCCUUAACCAUACUUUACCCCAUUUACCUUAUCAUUAUCAGAAUUUUCUCAUUACACUCUCAUCAUUCUCUCUCAUCAUUAUCAUAUUUCUCACUCUCUUUCUCUCUAAACCUCACAAACGCCAUUACCUCAAAGCUUCCAUAACCACCACUUCCACUCUCCUAUUGCAAAAACACCCUUCACAAAUAUUACUCCACUCGUCAUCCCCGUUCUAACCACGGUUUUGGAAUUUUCUAACUCCCUAUUUCAAAUAAUUUCAAAUUUUGCAGGUCCAAAAUGCCCCCGAGGAGAAUUCUCACCGGAAAGCAACAACUUGCGGAGAUGUCGAGGUCACGGAAGCGACCAAGCCGGAACCCAAAUCCACACAACAUCGUGUUUGACAAUCCGGAACAAGAAAAGAGGUAUCAAAUUCACCGAAAACGGAAACUCACACGGACAAGGUACAUGUGUGAGCAUACUCUGAAUGCACUAGGGCUCAAAAUUGAGGUAUACCGGAUGUUCCAUGUUUUAGGAAUGCUAGAGUUCAUGGGCCUGGAAGUGCCGACAUACGAGCGGAUCACGCUCGAAUUCCUCAGCACGUUGGAAUUCUAACUCGAAAAGAGGUGGAUAGACACGACCAGGUAUUAUUUAGGCACUUUGCGUUUCCGCUUGUUUAAUAAUUAUCAUGAAUUGUCGGUUGAAGAAUUGGCAGAGAUACUCCGACUCCCUCUGUACAGACCAGGAGCGGUCCCAGAUGGGUUCUCACCUAAGGAUUUUUGAAUUACCAUCAACGGGAGGACGAAUUAUACCUCCAAAGGUGCUAAGGCCUCCGACAUCCAAAAUCUAUGUUUCCAGUAUGCUCAGAAGGGUUUGGCCUACACCAUGUUUGGAAGAGGCGAUAACACAGAGGUAGCUACUCAGAGAGAGCUAUUUUUUAUAUACUCAAUGGCAUAUAACAAAGCCAUCAAUGUAGCUGCCUUUGCAGCUGACUAUUUGGGAAGAGUUGACUGAGCAGACUCCGGAGGCAUCUCUGUGGGUGGCAUGAUUACCCAAAUAGCUGAGCAUUUCGGGUAUCAAGCUAUGUUACUCGAAGACACGCCAAUUGCAGGUAAGACCAAAAUUAACAUGUCCGCUCUAAUUCAACAAGGUAUGAUUGUUGUUGCCCCUACUUACUUUUCGGUGCUUAUCCAUAAGAGGUUUAUUAUAGCUCUGUCGGAUCCGGACAAAGUUGCUAUUACUGAUUGUGCCAACUGGUUGUAUGUGAGUGCUGACCCCGACGCGGAGGAAGGCCACGACACUGACCAUUUUACUGCAUGUGAGCAGUUUGUAGAUGACCAGGUGGAUUCCAUGGAGGCAGAAGAAGAGGAACCUCAAGAACAGUUUGUACAACUACAUCAGGAACCUACCCAGCAGGAGGCAGGUUCCUCUUCCUGGUCCAUUGACCAAUGGACCUGGGUACAAACCGAAAUAGGUGACUUAAGGACAGAACAACAACGACAAGGCAUUGAGAAAGCCCGACAAGGGGCAAUGUUGGAUGAGAUGAGCAGCAUGAUGCGACGGUUGAUGUUGCAUUUUCCACAACCACCUCCUCAGUAGGGUACUAUGAGUGUCUUCCUUCGCUCUUGUUCGCAAACAUUGAGGCCAAUGUUUAGUUAAAGUGUGGGGGAGAUUUUAUGUCUUUUAUUGUUAUUUUUAGUAUUUUGUUAUUUUAUUUCAGUAUGGUGUUAUUUUACUUUAUUGCAUUCUAGAUUCAGUUUUU
rnacentral:lncRNA from 1 species